CUGUUGUUUUUUGCAAUUCCUUAUUUAGUUUCUGCUUAAUACGUGCCUCUUUGUGGCUUAUUAAUCUUGGGUCGAUUCCAAGAGUUGGACCAAUCUUCUUUACAUUGAUUCUAUUUGCAUAAGUAGUAUCACUCCACACUACAGACAACCAAAAUAUGAGGCAUUUUAUCUGAUUUGGCAGUUAUUCUGCUUUGGACUUGCGGGAGUAGCAAGUACUAUAAGCUAGGUAGAAAUUGUCUACCUUCGGUUCUACAGUGCGUUACUAAAAGAUCCUCCAUCUGUAGUCAACUGCUUUUGAUUUAGGCAAUGUUUGUUUUCAUGAUACUUUCUUUUUCCUCUGUCUAGGCAGAGUAGAGUUUGUCUAGAGUGAAGGGAGGUUGGGAGAUGUUAAAUUUUUUUCGGGCUGAUCUCUUUCCUAUCAUAGAACUUGUGUGCAUUUUUGUGUACAUUUUCUAUGGUUGUUUAUUAUUUUGGCAAAUGAUGUGAUGAUUUUAUGUUUCUCUGCUCUAUAGUCAAUCUCAUUCCUGAUUUUUUUUGUAUUUUGGAUUCGUGAGUUGUGAAACUUUUAUGUUCCUUUCUCCAGUACAUCCAUGGACUUGCUGCUAGAGGGGUGCAUUACUUUUAUCGGUCUAGACCAAUUCUUCAGGACAUCAACUUCUAUCUUCUUCCAGUUGGUUUUCUUGUUUUUGCUUUUCUUCUUCCCCAUUAUUAUGGCAGAUGCACACUGACCUUUUCUGUUUGGAUUAAAAUUCCAGUGGCUUGGACGAGAUAGAACUUACAUAAGUGCAACUGUAUUCACCACUAUAUUUCUAUCUUUGAUCUUGACGUGCCUCAGAUUAUUAUUAUUUUUUGGCGAAGCCUCAACUACUUUUUUUCCCUGCAAAAAUAACCAGGGUUCAAAGCUUGCCUCACUGUCUCCUCCCGACAAUAUUUUACAAGUGCUAUUGAUUGUUCCUAGGGGAAAUAAGAUAUGAAAUAAGAUCAUAAAGCAAAGAGCAAUUGCAAAAAGGCAACUGAGGAAUGUUUUGGAAUACAAGCUUUAAGUAAUGUGGUCAUGAAAGAUUUUCAUCCGACAACAACUUACUUUUGUUAUCAACCACAGCUGCUGAAUUUGUUAUCAGUUAUAACUACCAAAAUUCAAAUUCCAUGCCACUGUAACAUAUCUCAUACAUAUGUUGGUCCACCUACAAUUCACUAUUUCUGUCUUUCUAGCAAGCUCACUGUAUAACUUUGUUCCCCAAACGAAUAUAAUAUACUAUGAAGCAUAAUAUGUUAAUAUUUAGUUU